rnacentral:lncRNA from 1 species
AUUGAUAGUUAUAACCAUGGAUAAUAAAAUACAUGGAUAGGAAACUAGCUGACGUGACCUAAUGUUUUCAAUGGGAUGAUGGCGUUGAAACCUAGUUGCAAACCAAAUUCUCAAAAACGGCAUGUUUAGCAAUAAUACAGCUAAACAUUUUAGUCAAAGAGCAAAUAAAUAUAACUAGACCAUUCUACGAUGAAAUCUCUAAGUAUUCCCGGUCAAUUUUAGCAAAUAUUUGAUGCACUAAACAGUGAAAAAUGCAUCGCAAAUUUCGUUAAAAUUGGCGACGCCAAUUUCGUAGCUACAAAUGUAAAAAAAAUACAAAACAAAGACGAAAAACAUUUACCUUGAAUACUUUGUCGUGGCUUAGGCAUGUUUUUAAAACAAUUAGACCAGUUUAUGCUUCACUAUUACUCUUUUAAAGCGGGAAAUAUAGCGAAACAAAAAUGCUGAGAACUGAGGCAAUACACGUGACGUCACAGAUUGCAACUAGGUUUAGACUGUGACGUCAGGAAGUUUCCUAUCCAGUUAUUUUACAAUCCAUGUUAUAACUAUACAUUAAACAACAACGCUAAUCGACAUGAUUGAUUGAUUAUCUUAGAAAAAGUAUCUAAUGUCAAUCAAAUGCCACAACUCGGGACAAGUGAGCCAUGCUCUGAAAGAUUCGCAUAACUUAGAG